AGAUUUUCCUGCAGUUCUUAUUGGAAAGCUUGUAACCUGCUCACAACCAACGGCCUCGCGAGGGAAUCAAAGCUCCCCACUGUCGCCGUAUGAAAUGAAGGCAUAGGUCUUUCUUACCAUGUACAAUACACUACACUCACCACAACAGAACAACAGAACACACACUCUACAUCCAGCUGUAAGUCCCAUGCAACACAUGUUCGUCAUCUCCCGAUAUGGAGAGAAUCCCGUGCUCCAACAGCCCAACACGAUAUGCAUAGCGUACCAAUAAGCACCAUAAUCAUGUAUCAGUAACCCUCAGGUAUGCCCCUCUACUCCCAGAGCCGAGGAUCUCACUCUCCACUGAUCAUCUACUCUUAUCACCACCCACAGACGAUAAGAGAUUACGAUCUCAGCAUCCAUACCGAAAGGUAGAAAUGGAGCUCGCUUGAGCUGGUUAGUUAGUUCUCGGUUAACUGUCAAGCAGGCAGAACGCAGGAAAGUUCGUGGAGUACACGUAGACGUGAGAUAGCCUGACCGCUGUAGAACAAAAUUUCCAUUUUUUUAAUUCUGUGGCAAAAAGUGAAGUGGUGAAGUGGAAACCUAAUUAAGCUUAUUGGGCUCAGAGCAAGCCGCAGAUGUUCACUACCUUUAUGCAUGCUGCUCUGUAGUGCUACAAUGGAGUAGAGGAGGAGGAUACAAUGAGAUCGGCCUUUCUAUCAUGACCUACUUGUGCGCCAGGCCGGGAAGGUGUCCUAGUACGAUCAUGGAUCGGUGUGCUAGCGUUGGAGUAGCUGGCACGUCGCCGGUGAAUUUUCUUCUGUCCGGGCAA